rnacentral:sRNA from 1 species
AUCUGUUGCGGACAGAUGAAAUGGAUAUGGGCAUCGAUACCACCGGCCGUCAGAAUACUGCCCUCUCCGGCGAUCACUUCGGUCCCCGGGCCGAUAACGAUAUCCACGUUGUCCUGAGUGUCGGGAUUACCCGCUUUACCCACCCUGAAAAUACGGCCUUCACGAAUGCCGACAUCACCUUUAACGAUGCCCCAGUGAUCCAGCACCAGCGCGUUGGUGAUCACCAGAUCAACGGCGAUAUCAUUGCCGCACUGACUCUGCCCCUGGCCAU